UACGUAGGGGGCAAGCGUUGUCCGGAAUCAUUGGGCGUAAAGCGCGUGUAGGCGGUUCAGUAAGUCUGCUGUGAAAGUCCAGGGCUCAACCCUGGGAUGCCGGUGGAUACUGCUGGGCUAGAGUACGGAAGGGGCGAGUGGAAUUCCCGGUGUAGCGGUGAAAUGCGCAGAUAUCGGGAGGAACACCAAUUGCGAAGGCAGCUCGCUGGGACGUCACUGACGCUGAGACGCGAAAGCGUGGGGAGCAAACAGG
rnacentral:rRNA from 1 species